AAUUGGCAACACUUAAAUGCGGCAGCAGUCCAUGGUGCGGAGUCAGUGUGUUGGGAAGUGCGUGUCAGGCAGAUAAGUGCUUAUUGGCCUUGUGUUCUGUCUGUGGUAGCCCAGGACGUAGUGUGACCUCGUGGAGGACUCGGUGAACAGGUUGAGAGGGCGAGUCUGGCUUGAGGAGAUAAUGUUACUCUCAUCACCACUGCCACUAGCACCGCCGCCGCCGCCAAAUUUUCCUCCGCCAUCAUCUCGCGCGAAGGAAAUAAGGGAUAAUAAUGCAGAGGAGGGAUUCCAGUCCUCGCGUCCCGCCUCUCUUCUCUCUUCUCUUCUGUGAUGAGUGGUGCUUCACGACACUUACUGUGGCCACUUUGUUGAUCUAGUCUUGUUUUCGAUUAGAUUAAACGGAAAAUUAGAAUAUAACAAAAGAAAAUAGGGGAGGCUGCAAGGAACCGUCAGACCUACAAGUAGCAGUCCCUGUACGAAAUAUACCUACUUAGUAUGUACUUCCACCUAUCGCCAUCAUCACAAAAAAUAUGUGAUUAAUUCCAAUAUGCAUGGGUUAUUUGAGUAUUAAGAAAUGUUUGAGUAUAGUUCUUUAUACUUUUUUUUUUGGUAAUAAUACUGUUAUUCAUCAUCCCAUACCCUCCCUUUUUUUUUUAUAUAAUUUACCCAGCAAUUAUACUUUCGUUUCCCUUCUUGUUAGCUGUGAUUGCCUCCUACCCUCACGUAUCUUCUCUAGUGUCUGCACGCGGGUCUUCUACAUCUUCUUCUUCCAGCAUAACAUUGCACCGUGAGUGCACAUGGCCUUUGCUUCUAAGUGAACUAAAACAAGGGUGUGCAGGUGACCGAAAUUUACGUUUAACUUAAAAAUGUUAAGGAGAAAUUAACAUUACUCGCUAGCACAAGAUCUAAGGAAGACUUCUUUAUAUCUCAGCACAGCACUGGCCGGUAUUCAGAAAACGCUCUGCCCUCUCACCACGACUAUUUAUAUUUUCAAAAGCCAAAGGAAUGAUUAGCUGGCUACUUAAGAGUGUUUUCCCUGCUAAUAAAAUAUAAAUCUUGUUAAUCCGUCAGUAGAUCCGUAAAAACACCCGUAAACACCGUGUAACUUCUAGUAGUGCCUUUUUUAAAGUAUUCAGGUUGCAGCGCAGAAGUAUUUCAGAAUAUUGUUCAUUAUCUUAACAUUUCCUAGGGACUUUAAAUGCAGGGACAGUUGUUUAAGGUCCACCAGUCUCAUGCCGUGCACGUGGGAAAGGCAGGGACGCGGCGGCGAGUGGUGACGCAGGGCAGCGGAAGGCAGCGGUUAGAGUUGAAAAAGUGCGUCUCGGUUAAAUGUUAAGACAAAUGCAGUCGGUGAAAGAAUGAAUGAAUCACGAAAAUUAGAGGUUGAUGAGCAUCUUGAGUCCCUCAUUGCCUGGCCGCGUCCUUCCUUGCUUCUUUCCUUCCGGGCACCACAAUUCAAGGGUCUCUCUUUUGCUGCAGAAUAGUUUGUUCGUCUAAAUAGAACGAAAAAAAAAAAAGUCCUGAAAUUAUUGAAGGAAUGCGCACAAAUGUUUCCUUCGUGUAUUAUUGUAUGUUAGGAAAUGGUUUCAUUGCAUGGACGCCGCGCAGGCCACAGCCACCACCACCUCCAGGCACAGCUGUGAGGAAUGUAAGCCGUUUGAAAUUUCCUCUCCUGAUGUGUCUUUUGGAGGAAGGGAAAGUUAAGGUGAUUAUUGCACUGAGACAACACCAGCAGGGAGCAAGAAAAAGCUAAACCCGAGGCGUGUUCUGACAAAGCCCUACACAUGAGGAGCUGUAGGGAGCUUCAGCAAGAGGCCCUGCAGGUGGUGACUAUAAAACACCUGGACCUCGCGUGUAGCCACUGUGGUUCUCGGGGUGCAGAGCCAUCGGUGGGGAAGGUGCAGCCGCCGCGAUAAGGAAGGCGGUGCUGCAGCUCGCGUAUCCUGUCUAUGCAGAUAUUCUCGCACUGAAUGUAUCGAUGUGUAUCUUCGUCACUUGGCAUCUUAUUAGUAGACAUUUACAAA